rnacentral:rRNA from 1 species
GACGAACGCUGGCGGCGUGCUUAACACAUGCAAGUCGAGCGGUAAGGCCCUUUCGGGGGUACACGAGCGGCGAACGGGUGAGUAACACGUGGGUGACCUGCCCUUAGCUCUGGGAUAAGCCUGGGAAACUGGGGUCUAAUACCGGAUAUGACUCCAUGACGCAUGUUGUGGGGUGGAAAGCCUUGUGCGGCUAGGGAUGGGCCCGCGGCCUAUCAGCUUGUUGGUGGGGUGAUGGCCUACCAAGGCGACGACGGGUAGCCGGCCUGAGAGGGCGACCGGCCACACUGGGACUGAGACACGGCCCAGACUCCUACGGGAGGCAGCAGGUGGGGAAUCUUGCGCAAUGGGCGAAAGCCUGACGCAGCGACGCCGCGUGA